GGUCUCAUGGUGUAAUGGUCAGCACUCUGGACUCUGAAUCCAGUGAUCCGGGUUCAAAUCUCGGUGAGACCU
rfam:Ixodes scapularis strain Wikel colony gcontig_1108379016730, whole genome shotgun sequence.